rnacentral:rRNA from 1 species
UGUAAGCGUAUACCAAAGUUGUUGCAGUUAAAACGCUCGUAGUCGGAAUUUGGCAGUUCCGGAAGUGUGCACGUCGUGUGCGCACUUUGCGGGGACUGCUUUUGUGGUCUUGCGUAGGAUGAGGCACUUUCAUUAGUGAACGUCCUCACGCAACCACUCUUUACUGUGAGAAAAUCAGAGUGCUCAAAGCAGGCAUUUGCCGUGAAUGUAUUAGCAUGGAAUAAUAGAAUAGGACUCGGUUCUAUUUUGUUGGUGUGUUGGGACUGAGUAAUGAUUAAGAGGGACAGUUGGGGGCAUUUGUAUUCCGGCGCUAGAGGUGAAAUUCUUAGAUUGCCGGAAGACAAACUGCUGCGAAAGCGUCUGCCAAGGAUGUUUUCAUUGA